rnacentral:rRNA from 1 species
UACGUAGGUGGCAAGCGUUAUCCGGAAUUAUUGGGCGUAAAGCGCGCGCAGGCGGUUUCGUAAGUCUGUCGUGAAAUCCCCGGGCUUAACCUGGGAAUGGCGAUGGAGACUGCGAGGCUAGAGUUUGGCAGAGGGGGGUAGAAUUCCACGUGUAGCAGUGAAAUGCGUAGAGAUGUGGAGGAACACCGAUGGCGAAGGCAGCCCCCUGGGUCAAAACUGACGCUCAUGCACGAAAGCGUGGGGAGCAAACAGG